rnacentral:lncRNA from 15 species
AAGUCUACAAAGAAUCUCACUAUAUCACUUACUAUAUUUAGGAUUAACCUAAAAUUGUCUUUGCAUCUAGUGUUAACUGUAAAUAUCAUUAAUCUGUAACUACUGGCUCAUCAUUGUCAUCAUUUAUCUUCUCCUUGUGUGUCUGUAUCUAUGUCAAUGUACUAUUCAGUACUCUGAUCUGCACCCCACUGUCUCCUAUGGUUGUUCCCGGGGUCCUUUUGUUGGUGCCUCUGACCAAAACUCAUUUGGAUCUUCUCCUUCUNNNNNNNNNNNNNNNNNNNNAAGGAAUUUAAUUUCCCCAAUUUUAUCCCCAUUUCUACCAUAAACUCACUUGAACUGGUUUGCUUUUAACUUUAAUGGGCUUAUCAUUCACACAUCAUUCUCAAUCCCACAGAUCAUCCAUACCAUGUAUGGUCUGAUCUUAUCAUACACACAAACCUCUAGACAAUUCAGAUCAGCCAGGUGGCUUUUAUGACACCUAUGCUCCCAGCAGCACACCCUUGAAGUAUACACAAUGUAUACCAGACACUGACUGAGUAAACACAAAGUUUAUAGUUUUUUACUUUCUUCACUCAUAUGCCCUCAUAGUCGUUAGCGGGAAUUUUAUUUCUCAUUCCCCAAAAUCUCACCAAAAGAAACCUCUAUCGUGGUGUAUUAUCCACUAGGCAUCACAGUAAUUUCCAUUCUUGUCUUAGUUACUUCUCUUAUAUUUAGUCCCCAUUUCUGGUUAUCCUCUUUAUUUGUAUUUUCCUAUUUUAAACGUUUAGUUGUUUUUCUAUUUUAUUCUUCUUCUUAUCUCGUCUUUUGCUUUAAUGGUUUCAGCAAAACCUGAAACCACAUUUCAAUAUCUCAUUUGGCUUUACAUCAACAUAGGCUUGGAAACUCCCAUCACCUCAUAUAACUACACAGACCCAGUAGUGGUUAUGACUGGUCUUUUUCAUUCUUGAUUUGAUUCAAAACACUGUACUCACUUUUCCAAUGGAUGGAGUGGACACUGUCCACCACCUAAGUCUGACAUCAGGCGGGAUCCUGCCCUCCGUUUGUCGGAGCGGAACUUUCCCUGCCGGCAUUUACCUUCAGUCUUGACCCAGGCGCUGAUCAGCCACACUUCCAUCCCCCCUUGUCACCAAACAUAGGGGUAAUUCUUCCUUCUAGUUCUUUAAAGAAUUAUGAACCCAGUGUGAUAAAUCAAAUUCCUUUACUCAUGCAACAUAGAGGGGAGGCCACAGCCUAGACAUUCCCUCCUAACUUUCAUAAUGCACUCCCUUACUAACUAUACAGGUGUUAACUUUGAGUAAUCACAAUGUAUAUUUUCCUAUCUUUUUAGACAUACCUGUGUUUACAGUCAAGCUAAGGAAUAUCAAUCAGCUUAACUCAGGAACACUUUUAAUCGCCGAAAUAACAUUUGCCCAUAUUUUUUCUUUUAUCUGUCAACAUAAUUCUCAUUUAUAAAUUUAAUGGAUCUCAAUCGAAUAGUUUUAUAAUCAAGC